UACGUAGGGACCAAGCGUUGUUCGGAUUUACUGGGCGUAAAGGGCUCGUAGGCGGCCAACUAAGUCGGAUGUGAAAUCCCCAGGCUCAACCUGGGAACUGCAUCCGAUACUGGAUGGCUUGAAUCCGGGAGAGGGAUGCAGAAUUCCAGGUGUAGCGGUGAAAUGCGUAGAUAUCUGGAGGAAUACCGGUGGCGAAGGCGGCAUCCUGGACCGGCAUUGACGCUGAGGAGCGAAAGCCAGGGGAGCAAACGGG
rnacentral:rRNA from 1 species